rnacentral:rRNA from 1 species
UACGUAGGGGGCUAGCGUUGUCCGGAAUCAUUGGGCGUAAAGCGCGUGUAGGCGGCCCGGUAAGUCCGCUGUGAAAGUCGGGGGCUCAACCCUCGAAUGCCGGUGGAUACUGUCGGGCUAGAGUACGGAAGAGGCGAGUGGAAUUCCUGGUGUAGCGGUGAAAUGCGCAGAUAUCAGGAGGAACACCAAUUGCGAAGGCAGCUCGCUGGGACGUCACUGACGCUGAGGAGCGAAAGCGUGGGGAGCGAACGGG